rnacentral:tRNA from 1 species
GUCCUUAUGGUGUAAUGGUUAGCACUAAGGUUUGUGGAACCUUCAGUUCGGGUUCGAGUCCCGAUAAGGACC